GGUUGUUCUUGAACAGUAUCUUCCUCUGGGACCCUUCCCUUAUCACAAACUUCUGGGCUUUAACUAAUCUUAUCUUUUAAGAAGGCUGUUGGAUCAGAAAGUUCAGUCAUAUAAAAUUUGAAAAUUUGAUUGAGUGUGACACUGAUGCGAAGCCAUUGUUGGGUGGAAGGAAGCGAAAACUGGAAUUUGGACGAACUCAUAGAGGCAUUGAAUCAUGGGGUUGUAGUGUAGCAGAUGAUCACAUGGAAGGAAUAUGGGAGAUAACGAUGGGAGUGAAUGAAACAGAAAGAACUGAAGAACCCAAUGUUUUGUGGGGGUAGAUGGACCACACUGCGAAGGAAUUUUCAGCUCCAUGUCAAUACCAACCAUGCACAUGCAAACUUCUAACUCUUUUCAAACUCGUCAUAUCUCUCGCUCUCGUUGUUGUUGUGACUGGGAAUUCAAUCACCAAAACUGAUCGGAUAAGAGAUCUUUACAGACACACAUUAUAAAAAUAAAAUAUUUAUAAAAUAAUGAACUUUUAUAUUUUUUAAUAAAAAGUAGAAAAAGAUAAAAUAUGAAAAUUUUGUGUAUAUCACAUUCUCAUUCCUAUUCAACCAAAUGUGAAUUUAAAUUUUACAUUGAUUAAAGUU
rnacentral:lncRNA from 1 species